UACGAAGGGUGCAAGCGUUAAUCGGAAUUACUGGGCGUAAAGCGCGCGUAGGUGGUUCAGUAAGUUGAAGGUGAAAUCCCCGGGCUCAACCUGGGAUCUGCCUCCAAAACUGCUGAGCUAGAGUAUGGUAGAGGGUAGUGGAAUUUCCUGUGUAGCGGUGAAAUGCGUAGAUAUAGGAAGGAACACCAGUGGCGAAGGCGACUACCUGGACUAAUACUGACACUGAGGUGCGAAAGCGUGGGGAGCAAACAGG
rnacentral:rRNA from 1 species